AAAUAUACAACUGAGAGAUACUGUUAAUAUUUGAGCUAAGUAAGCCAAGCCUUCACGUGCAUUUAGAGAGUCAGACCCCUUUAAUGAUACCUUAAGGAUAACCAGAACUAAUGGCACACAGAGAAAUAUGCCUAUUGGUUGAUUCAGGAACAAAUGUUUAGACUUCUUCCAUUAAGGCCCAUCAUAAAUGCAGUGCACACAGUACUGAUACUUUCUUUGUUUCUUCCAGCAAGACGAAGCCCUGCUUUGACAAGGUUGUCUAAGACAUAGAAUAAACAAGAGCACCCUUCCUAUAGCAUGUCAUUUGUACAAGAAAAAGCUGCCCAGGGAAGAAGAGGGCUUCAGGCAUUUUUUAUUUUUUUAAUUCUCAUAAAAUGGGUUAAUUUUAAGAGUACAUAUAGCAGAAUGCAUUGCCAUAGGCAUAACUGAAAGGCUACUAAAGUGUAUGCUCUUGUAUUUGCAUUUAAGUGAAUAAAGACAUUGAAAGCUGUACAAGUGGGAGUGUGGGAAGCAGAUUUCCAUCCCAAAAGCAAGCAGGGAUCUGUCGCUUCAGGCACAGCAGAAGACUACUCCUGCAGGCAAUGUCACCUUCCCACAACCCCUCGAGCAGUGCAGCUCUAGAGCCUGCCACUGGCACAGCUUUCCCUGGCCAUGUUGGUGACAGCGGCCAAUCUGUUUGCUCCCUGUACAUGCAGUGACUCCCAAAAUGAAGGAACACGAAUGGACCAACAAAUCCAGUCUCUUAGUGAAAUACAAUUAACAGAAACUCCAGGAGUGCUUUCAAAGAAGCAAUAUUAAAACUAACUCCCAUUGCCUGCCCAUAUGAGUCAUGCCCCAUCUCUAUUUUCACAACCACCAUGCCUUAAUGCUCAGUUUGGCAGAAGCAGUUUAUCCCAUUUCUUGGGAAUCAACACUCUUGUAUAAGCCUCAAAUUAGCUGGAACCUCUCAGCCCUGUGGCUUGAAUAGCUACUAUCAAAACUUGAUUUAUACGAAGUGAGAUCUCCAUCUCAGGCGGAGAUUUUACAAACAUCAGAAGUAGGUAAUCAAAGUCACAACACUGAAUACUUACUACAUUUUACAAUAACUAUAGAUCGCUGUUACUGAUUACUAAUUUCCUUCUUGUUUCCUUCUUUUUCUCCAGGUACGAAGAUGAAAAAGAUCUCACUUAACUUUAGGGACCUUUUGAAUCAACUUUUCUUUCUGCAGCUGCUGAAAGAAAAUCCAGUGUUUGACAAACAUUUGUGACAUAAUUCACAGCCAGGUAUUUCACUGGGCAAGGUGCUCAGUAAAGUCUCCCUUGAAAUGACUCACAACCUGCUUCCCCAGGGGACACUUGCUGGCUGCCAAAGGUGUCUGUAAUACCAGUGCUGUUCUUCUUUUGACACUGAGAAAAAUAAACCUUCCAUCCACGCUGA